rnacentral:rRNA from 1 species
UUUUAACGGGGUGCGGUAUUUUGACCGUGCUAAGGUAGCAUAAUCAAUUGUUUUUUAAUUGAAAACUAGUAUGAACGGUUUAAUUUACUUAAUUAGUUUGUAAUUUUUAAUAGUAAGUUAAAUAUAAAGUAAGAAUUCUUUAAUAAAUUAGGGGACGAUAAGACCCUAAAAGCUUUAUGAUUGGCAUUUAAUUAGUGAUAGCGGUGUUAUUAAUUCACUGGGGCAGUGAGUUUAGGUAUAUUUAAGUAUAAUUAAAAGCUCCUUUAAAUAAAGAUUUCAUGUAUAAGUUACUUUAGGGAUAACAGUGCAAUAUAUU